AUACUUCAAUGUUUUCCAGGAUUUUGGAUAAAUCCAUCUAUCUUUAUCCAUUCGUUUAGAACUUUUCACAGAUUUGGGACCAUGGAGUAAGCAUGAAGUGGUGAAGCAGGAUGUCUGCGGGAUAGGAAGAAUCCAUGAGGAGAGACAGAUGAGCGCUAUGGGUGCUCAGGCUCACGUGAGAUCUAUAAGGAAGAAGACUCUGGCAGGUCCUUGUCUCAGAACAGAAGGCAGCUCAGAGCCUGGGGAACUAGACUUGGGAUUCUGUCCUGCGGGUGCAUGGAUAUCUAGAGAAUGUCCUGGUGAGCAUUGAGGUCAGCCACAAGGGGAGCCUGACUGAGCUAGAGACCCAGUGAAUGAUACCAGUUUACCCAGUCCUGGGCAUCUGUACCUUGUUUUGUUGUAGCUUAGAACCAC
rnacentral:lncRNA from 12 species